UGGGAUCCUAAGAAACCGUACAAAUGCGAAGCUUCAAAUUCUGAAGGCACAAAACAAUCCCCUGUUGCUCCACGGAGUCCAAGAAAUCCAACCCUGAGCUUGGUUCCUGUAACAACCCUAAAAAGUCAAUCUGUCAUGUGUAUUAUUGAAGAUUUCUACCCCCAAGACAAUCUCAUGGUACAAUGGAAAAUAAAUGAUACAAACAGCAUGAGCCAGCUAAAACUGGAAAGUAAACUUAAUGCGCAGGGUUAUUAUAAAGGAUACAGUUUUUAUGGAGUCAGCAGUGAGAAUUGGGAUGUGAAUACUCAGUAUACCUGUGAGGUCACACACCAGGGAAAACCGUUUCAUACGAAGGCAAACUUCAAAACUAAAUUGUCACUGACAGUGAAGCCACCAAUUCAGAAAGAACUUUUUGUUAAUGAUAAAAUUGUCUUGCAAGCUGUUGUUUCUGGAGAUGUAAGAAAUACAGUGGAAGACACUUCAGUAUCAUGUAAAGUGACGGAAGAACCUGUGCCCAAUGAGAAUAUCACAAAAGGAAAUGUUGAAUUUGACACUUCACAAUUUAUAAGAAUUCACUAUGUCACCGUUAGUACAAAGAAAUGGUUUGAUGGUUUGAUGGUCACCUGCAUCAUCAGUGACAUAAAUAACAGAGACGUCAAGCAGACGAUCCAUUUUCAAAAAGGAGAUGAAAAGAAACCAAAUGUUACCAUUUAUAAACCCGAUAAUUACGACACAGAUCAUGUCUCUCUGGUGUGUGAGGUCACCAGUCCUAAACUCAGCGAUGUCUAUAUCAUGUGGAGAGUGGGUAAACAGCCUUACAGAGAGGGCACAACCAGUGCUCCCAUCCAUCAAAAGCACUCCACGUCUGUUCUCAGCAUCCUAACAAUGACAAAAGAAGAGUAUAAAAAGCUCAGCACCACCAUCAGCUGCGCAGUCAAACAUGCCAACAUGGACAAAAGAAGUGUUCCAUUAGAAGUUUCAACAAGCCAAAGUAAACAGCCAGAACAUUCAUGUGAUUAAUGUGCAAGCAUUUCCAAACUAUCAUUGUUCAUCUGUUGUUCAGUGUUCCAGUGCUUUUGUCCUGUUGCUGUCUCGUCAGAUUAUGUACAGUAUCUUUGAUGUUUUUUGUGCAUAUUUCUGUCUGUAUGUCUGUAUCACUUUA